rnacentral:rRNA from 1 species
UACGAAGGGGGCUAGCGUUGCUCGGAAUCACUGGGCGUAAAGGGUGCGUAGGCGGGUCUUUAAGUCAGGGGUGAAAUCCUGGAGCUCAACUCCAGAACUGCCUUUGAUACUGAAGAUCUUGAGUUCGGGAGAGGUGAGUGGAACUGCGAGUGUAGAGGUGAAAUGCGUAGAUAUCUGGAGGAACACCGGUGGCGAAGGCGGCAUCCUGGACCGACAUUGACGCUGAGGCGCGAAAGCCAGGGGAGCAAACGGG